rnacentral:rRNA from 1 species
UACGUAGGGUGCGAGCGUUGUCCGGAAUUACUGGGCGUAAAGAGCUCGUAGGCGGUUUUGUCGCGUCUGCUGUGAAAACCCGAGGCUCAACCUCGGGCCUGCAGUGGGUACGGGCAGACUAGAGUGCGGUAGGGGAGAUUGGAAUUCCUGGUGUAGCGGUGGAAUGCGCAGAUAUCAGGAGGAACACCGAUGGCGAAGGCAGAUCUCUGGGCCGUAACUGACGCUGAGGAGCGAAAGCGUGGGGAGCGAACAGG